rnacentral:rRNA from 1 species
UACGGAGGAUGCAAGCGUUAUCCGGAAUGAUUGGGCGUAAAGCGUCCGCAGGUGGCUAUGUAAGUCUGCUGUUAAAGAGUGAGGCUCAACCUCAUAAGAGCAGUGGAAACUACAUGGCUAGAGUGCGUUCGGGGCAGAGGGAAUUCCUGGUGUAGCGGUGAAAUGCGUAGAGAUCAGGAAGACACCGGCUGGCGAAAGCGCUCUGCUAGGCCGCAACUGACACUCAUGGACGAAAGCUAGGGGAGCGAAUGGG